UGGAGUUUGCACCUAAUUCGCAAUUCUCAGUUAAUAUCAGUGAUAAAUUACGAUUAGAAAGCUGGACUGAGGGGGAUAGGUGGUCACAGAUUUAAAUGUUUGGAGGAAGAUAACAAGGAAAAGGCAUUUAAUUGGAUCAAGUAUUGGAUAGUGUUCUGCGCCUUCCAUGCUGCUGAGCAUUUUGGUGAUAAAUUCAUAUACUGGUUACCUGGAUAUCAAAUUUUCAAGUUUAUUUUUCUGUUGUGGUGCUUCGCUCCGGUCCCAAAUAAUGGAUCCACCAUACUUUAUGAUAACUACGUCCGGCCGCUAUUUCUGCGCAACGCCGAUACAUUGGACCGAGUGACAGAUAUGGCUCCCAAAAUUCUGCAGACCUAAGAUCAUGUGACAAUGGAAAAUAUGCUACAGCUUUUUAUUCUAAUACACUUUUGCUUUAUGCAUUUUGCAGCUUAAUAAAAA